UGCCAGCAGCCGCGGUAAUACGUAGGGUGCAAGCGUUGCUCGGAAUUACUGGGCGUAAAGCGGACGCAGGCGGAUCAGAAAGUUGGGCGUGAAAGCCCGGGGCUCAACCCCGGAACUGCGUUCAAAACUCCUGGCCUGGAAUACGGGAGAGGGGAGCGGAAUUCCUGGUGUAGAGGUGAAAUUCGUAGAUAUCAGGAGGAACACCGGUGGCGAAAGCGGCUCCCUGGCCCGAUAUUGACGCUCAUGUCCGAAAGCGUGGGUAGCAAACAGGAUUAGAUA
rnacentral:rRNA from 1 species